ACAAUAUCACUGGCAAGCAAUCAAUAUGGGGUUGCUCAAGGCUAGUGUUUGUGCAAUCUCAUUCAUUAUUGUUAUAAUCGCAUUGGCUACUGACGAUGUGGGUGCAGUCACCAGCAUCACUACAUAUGCUUUACCACGUUGUGAUGGAGCAGUUGAUACAUAUUCCAGUUGUGGUCAGUGCCAGAGUUUAGCUGUAGCAAUUGGAGGUUACAAGAUUGACUAUGAUGGAAAUCCCAUUCGAAUUUAUACAGCACCAGCUUGUACAGGGCAAGGUGCAUUGAUAACUCAAGACCAGGAAGCAUGUGGUGUGGGCACCCUUCCCAUUUUGAGCUUCUAUAUACGCUGCUGACAAUGGAUGUGUGUGCUGAUGUUUAUUAAGUAAAUAAGAGGCAAAACUUCAAC
rnacentral:lncRNA from 1 species